rnacentral:rRNA from 1 species
AGAUUGAACGCUGGCGGCAUGCCUAACACAUGCAAGUCGAGCGGCAGCGCGGGGGCGACCCUGGCGGCGAGCGGCGGACGGGUGAGUAAGGCAUCGGAAUCUGCCCUGAUGUGGGGGAUAACCAACCGAAAGGUUGGCUAAUACCGCAUAAGUCCUACGGGGGAAAGCGGGGGAUCGAAAGACCUCGCGCCGGUGGAUGAGCCUACGUCCGAUUAGUUAGUUGGUGGGGUAAAGGCCUACCAAGGCUACGAUCGGUAGCUGGUCUGAGAGGAUGAUCAGCCACACUGGGACUGAGACACGGCCCAGACUCCUACGGGAGGCAGC